rnacentral:rRNA from 1 species
CACGUAGUUAGCCGGCGCUUCUUCUGCAGGUACCGUCACUUUCGCUUCUUCCCUACUGAAAGAGGUUUACAACCCGAAGGCCGUCAUCCCCCACGCGGCGUCGCUGCAUCAGGCUUUCGCCCAUUGUGCAAUAUUCCCCA